GGGUAGGCAGUUGAUGCAAUAUCUGUUGUCCCAUUGAUUGCCAGGAUUGAUUUGGCUGAUUGGGUUGCUUAGAUGGAUUUCCCUUUCCUUGAUCGUUGUUCUACAUGUGCUUGAAAGCUGUGUGCUUAGAGUAGACAGUGUUCCCCAACCUGUGGACUGGUACAGCAUCAACAGAAACGCUUUUAUUCUACACAACCUAGUGAACGAAAGGUUGGUUUUUUUUCCCUG
rnacentral:sRNA from 1 species